rnacentral:rRNA from 1 species
UACGUAGGGGGCAAGCGUUGUCCGGAAUCAUUGGGCGUAAAGAGCGUGUAGGCGGCUCGGUAAGUCCGCUCUGAAAGCCCGGGGCUCAACCCCGGGCCUGCAGUGGAUACGGGCUGGCUAGAGGCAGGCAGGGGAGAACGGAAUUCCUGGUGUAGCGGUGAAAUGCGCAGAUAUCAGGAGGAACACCGGUGGCGAAGGCGGUUCUCUGGGCCUGUACUGACGCUGAGGAGCGAAAGCGUGGGGAGCGAACAGG